GGAGGAGUAGCGAAGUCUGGCCAAACGCGGCGGACUGUAAAUCCGCUCUCUCUGAGUUCGGCGGUUCGAAUCCGUCCUCCUCCACCA
rnacentral:tRNA from 1 species